GAUGAACGCGGCGGCGUGCCUAAUACAUGCAAGUCGAGCGAGAAGCUUGGAAAUGACGCUUCGGUUGAUUUUCCAAGCGGACAGCGGCGGACGGGUGAGUAACGCGUAGGCAACCUGCCCCUGACAGAGGGAUAGCCAUUGGAAACGAUGAUUAAAACCUCAUGACACCGUAGUAGCACAUGCUACAUCGGUCAAAGAUUUAUCGGUCAGGGAUGGGCCUGCGUCUGAUUAACUGGUUGGUGAGGUAACGGCUCACCAAGGUGACGAUCAGUAGCCGACCUGAGAGGGUGAUCGGCCACAUUGGAACUGAGACACGGUCCAAACUUCUACGGAAGGCAGCAGUAGGGAAUCUUGCACAAUGGGCGAAAGCCUGAUGCAGCAACGCCGCGUGAAGGAUGAAGGCCUUCGGGUUGUAAACUUUCUGUUCUAAAGGGAAGAAAAGAAAUGACGGA
rnacentral:rRNA from 1 species